ensembl:lncRNA
CAUGUGAUUCCAGAGAUGACAGGCUGCACUACAGACCCCCUCACCAACAGGAAGCAGCUCUCAGAGAAAGUAUCCAUGGAUUAAAAAGAUUUGUGGAGAGAAACCAGCGGUGUGCCUAAUCUGUACAGUCACAGAUGAAUAACACCACAGCAUCAUCUCAUACACAUCGCCUGCAAGAGAGUGGGUCUUGAGAGUUGAAUCAAUGCUGAACACUUUAUUUAGAUUGCAAAUUAUCUCGCUACCUCAGCAGACUGCGAAAUCAACUGGAAGCUUUUCAGCAUUUAAUUAAGGAGGACAAAAGAAAGUCCCAAUAAUAACAGUGUGAAACUGCCACAGAAAAAUUAUGAAUACAAAGGGAGAAAUCAUCAGUAAUUAACCCCAAUCUGAGACUACAGAGGAGACUCCAAAACAAGAGGGGAGCACAUGAAAAUAAUACUAAAUUUACUUGUCUUGAAUAGAUAUAACAGAUUUUUCCCUAAGAUGGCCAACAGGACUGAAAGGGAAAUUCCAGUCCUUGGCUGAAGACUCCCCUCCGGGGUUCUUCUUCCCACCCCGCUUGCUGCGCGUGCCAAAUUACUACUAAUACAGAAUGCGGAAGUAACAUACUAGAAAUUGUUCCUUCUGCUUACGUGGGGGCUCAGACUUCGGGAGAGUGAUCUCCUCUGAACCCACCUGUGUGAAAUAAACCUCCUGCCUUCCAAGAUCUCCAAGUGCUGCCUGGUUCUUCUGCCGGGUGAUCCAGAUCAGAUUCCAUAACAUUUGGUUCCCCAGAAACCCAACUGCACUGGCCCAUUGUUGCCACUGGUUUGGGAAAACAGCGAGGCAGUGAUGCAAUGAGGAGUCACAACAGAGAAGGCGCACCCUGUCUGAUAUUUGGCAGUCUCUGGCUUGGUCGCCUCAGGCCAGCCCCACUCCGCCAUUCCCACUGGACUCAAGGAGACUUGGCAGGUGAGGACCGGGACCCAACAUCGGAUACCGGAACUUUAGAACGAAUCUGGAAAGUGGACACUCCACCCUAAGGAUCAAUGUCCCCACUGUGAGACCAAAAAGAAUGAAUCGUCCUCCAGAAGAUUCAUUUAGAGAUCUGGAAAGAACAAUCUUUGCAAUAUAUUGAGAUUUCUGCCAGCUGAAGAGAAGACUGGAAAGUGAAGCAUAGGAGAAUAUGACACCCCAAAAUAUGCUCCUUUGGUGUAGUGAUUAUCUUGAGUUGUAGGCACUUCAAAAUCAGCAAAUACAGGAAGAGGUUUCUGUAAAUGCUCCUGCUAUGUCUCGAAACAGAUCCUUAAAAAAAAACUCACUUGUCAGAAAUCCCUUCCCUGGGGGUUUCAUCAACAGGAAAGACUGACUCUUAUCUUAAGAGAGAGGCUAAGAAAUUGACACCACACUCAGUCAGACUUUAUCAUGAAAGGUCAUACUGCCCACCUGUUCUCGUAAGGGCCCAUUGAUCUUCCCUAAACACCAUUCAGUCUCCCCUAAGAGGCCUACAUCCCCUCUGUCCUUUCAGUAUUAAGAUGGUAUUUCAGUCCGAAUCCUAUGCUACUUUGGGGAGUUAUUCAUUUUUUCCCAGGUAUCUCCCAUGUGUACAUGAGGUAUAUGUGUUAAUAAAUUUCUGUUGGUUUUUUUCUGGUUGAACUUU